rnacentral:misc_RNA from 1 species
UACGGAGGGUGCAAGCGUUGUUCGGAAUUACUGGGCUUAAAGCGCGUGUAGGCGGAGUAUCAGGUGCCUUGUGAAAGCCCCGGGCUCAACCCGGGAAUGGCUGGGCAAACCGGUAUUCUUGAGGCAGGUAGAGGUGAGCGGAACAACUGGUGGAGCGGUGAAAUGCGUAGAUAUCAGUUGGAACGCCGGAGGCGAAAGCGGUUCACUGGACCUGUCCUGACGCUGAGACGCGAAAGCGUGGGUAGCAAACAGG